AAUCACAGAGUUUCUAAGAGAAAAUAUUAGGCAAUUAUUAAAAUAAAGUUUUUAAAACAAAGAAAAAGACCACAAUAACAUCAAUGUUAAAAGUAGGCUACUAAAUAAUAAGUAUGAUAUACAUCUCAUUGUAUUAAACAUUUUAUAUGAUAUGCCUAGAAAAAUACUGGAAUCUAUAUUGGAAUCACAUUGGAUAUGAUGUGUAUAACAGAAAAAAAACAAAAAAUCAAAUGUAUGUUUUUCUUAUGGGUAAAGAAUAUGUAUUUUAUUUAAGUAAAUAAGAGCUUAUCUGUAAAAAUACAAUGAAACCUAAAACUAGUCCACAUAACUUUGAAUAUGCCCACCUCAAGCUCAUAGCACAAUACCAAAAGCUUUCAAAUUUAAGUCUUUAAAAGGGACCAGGGUUGGGCAAAAGAAAAAUAAAGAUUAAAGGAAGGAGGAUAUGUCCCAAAUUAAAAGAGAAAUUACAGUUAUACAUUGAAAUCAUUUAACAUGCAUAUUGUCAGAGGAACAGUUAACUGACCAGCCUUUCAUGUUUAUUACUACAGUAGUCCCUCCGUAUCUGUGGGGCUUGGUUCCAGGACCCCCAUAGAUGCCAAAAUCCACAGAUGCUCAAGUCCCUCAAAUAAACUGGUGCAGUAUUUGCGUAUAACCUACAUACUUCCUCCCAUAUACUUUAAAUCAUCUCUAGAUUACUUGUAAUACCUAAUAUAAUGUAAAUGCUAUGUAAAUAGUUGUUAUAUCACCUGUUUUUUUAUUUGUAUUAUUUUUAUUAUCGUACUCUUACUUUGUAUUUUUUUGUUUUGUUUUGUUUGAGACAGUCUCGCUCUGUCACCCAGGCUGGAGUGUAGUGGUGCUCACUGCAACCUUGACCUUCUGGGCUCAAGCAAUCUUGUGACCUCAGCCUCCCGAGUACUGGGACUACAGGUGUAUGUCACCAUGCCCAGCUUAUUUCUUUAUUUUUUGUAGAGAUGCGGUUUCGCCAUGUUGCCCAGGCUGGUCUCAAACCCCUAAACUCAAGUGAUCCACCCGCCUUGGCCUCCCAAAAUGCUGGAAUUACAGGGUGAGCCACCGUGCCUGGCCUGCUUUUUUAUUAUUCUUAUUUUCAGUAUUGUCAAUC
rnacentral:lncRNA from 1 species